rnacentral:tRNA from 1 species
GGCUUGUGGCUCAGUGGUAGAACCUCGGCCUGGCAUGCAAAAGGUCCUGGGUUCAAUUCCCGGCAUCUCCA